rnacentral:lncRNA from 1 species
GGAAAACUUUUGACCUAUUUUGUUUUGUUUAUUAUGAAAGUUUGCGUUACGUAGUUUGUACAAAUCUCAUUAUCUCCGCAGGAGAAUAACUGCAUUGUAAUAUAAUCAAAUAUUUCAACGUAGUUGUAGUUAAAUUUCGUUAAAGAAGUUUGUUUAAAGUAUAUUUUACAAGUAUAAAUAAGUAAAAGAAUAUAUAAUUAACUCUAUAAAUAUUCGUAUUGGUUCUAGCUUUUUUAAAAGCCCUAGCAUUCCACUAAAUGCAACAUUUUGUAUAAUUACAAACGAGGAAUUUAAUAUCGACGAAAACAAAAUAAUCUGUGAAGAUGUAAUUUAAUGGUCAAAAGACAACAUCUCUGUUUCCGAUAACACAUCAACAUAUAUUCACUUAUUUAGUAUCAGACGAUAUCAGUUAUUCAAAGAGAACUAUGUAAAAUAAAUUAGAGUUGAGAAAAAGUUCUGAAAACGUGGCACAGAGUUUUGACACAAAAUUUGAUUUCGUAAAAUAAGUGUUACCGCGUACUUAUUCUAUGUAAAGAAUUAUGAAGUACAUCUACCUAACACUACACAAGCUAGUUACUUUCACAAUUAUAUAAAGCAUGGCAGAAAUCGUUAAGUUAAAACAGCAAAGUUACUGAGCCAUCCAAUAAAAGUUUACACAUUUUAAGAACAUACCUUUAAAAUUAGCUUACACAAAAAACAUUCUGUAUUACUAACAAAAAAUGGUUCGAACAUACAAAAAGUGGAGGACAGGGAGGAAGGAAAUCUUAUUUAAAUAGCCAGGAAAAGCUAGAUGCCUGCAAUACUGUUUUGAGUAAAGAAAUGUCCAUAAACCAGGCAUCCUAACAUUUUAGGUGUGACCGGUAAGCUCUUUCAAAACAAAAGGUGAACUAUUGAUGCUCAUCCAGGACGAAAAAUAGUUUUGACUUUGCAGCAAGAAAAUAUUGUAUUAGCAAAAUGAGGUGUUGUUAGAGUGUCACAGACUCAGGCCGGGAGCAAAUUACUGUAAAUUAUGCAUGCUCUGCUAGCGAACAGAUAUUGCCACGAUAUGUUAUCUAAAAAGGAAAAAUUUAUAUAUGGACUGGUUUAAAGGUGGCCCUGAUGGAGCUAUUUAUACAACAAGUAAUAAGAGCUAAAUAAAGUUGUUUUUUUGCCUGGGAAGCUUCCUAUCCAGGCAAAAAAAAAACUUCUAAAAUAUGUAAGAACACAUAAUGGAGCAGUCUUAAAGAAACAUUUCCCAGGACAAUUACUCAUCUUUUUCUGGAGUUUCUUUACUGUGGAAAAAGUCAAAAGUGGUUUUAAAGGAACUGGGAUUUUCUCUCUAAACAAGAAUGCUGUUGACACACGCUUGUUUGAUAGAUGAUUUAAGUUACCAGUAAAGAAACCUACAUUUACCACUAAUCACCUCACAAGAUUAUGUUCAAUGCCUAACCUUCAAAGCAUUUCUGUUAAUAAUGCUUAACUUUCAACAUCAAUAUCAUCUGCUUCAAUGUUAUCCAUUUCUACAUUAUCCUCAGAAGGCUAAUCUAUCAAAGAUUUUUUUCUAAAACAAUUACAGUCCAAGUGGGUGUGCUGCGAUGUUUGUGACAUUUUUUAUUAUGUAACUGUGAUAACUGAAUUAAACGAUGUUUAAGUCAUGAAGUUGAAGUGUGGGCAAUUGCUCUAAGCCUAUGUAGAAAAUUAGGCUUAAAAUUUUUUAUUGUUAAUUUUCUCCUUUUUA